ensembl:lncRNA
GGGAGAUCAAAGGCCAUCCCCGGGAGGGGUGCCCAAGGACCAAAGCAAAGGGUAGAGCGCCUUGUCUUGGAGUUUAAAAAGAAGAGGACAACGAAGAGGAGAGCGGGUGUUUGAUCUUAAAAUAAUUUACUUAAUGAUCUCACCAUGGGAGCAAUUGGCAGAGCAAGAUUAGGCUGUAAGGCCUAAUGGACAUGGGAAAAGUUAAAAUUGCUCGGAGAAAGGUUUUGGGACACAGAGUGAAGUCUGCUCAGAUCCAUCUGUCUCCUUACUAUUUCAACCAAUAUACUCCCUCCUACAAAAAGUAUGUCUUCAGAAAGUGCACUCAGGUUGGAAAAGUGUGGAAAGAGCAGAUGAACUUAUUGUCAGUGGCCAUAUGAUCCCUCACUGUUCAUUGUCUUCAUCACUAAGUAAGACCCUCCAG